rnacentral:lncRNA from 1 species
UGAAUUGUUUAGUCCACCUGAGAUAUUUUUCCAUUAAGAACCUCCCAAGUUAAAAUACUUGGCUGCUUACAAAAAAAUGUAGAGCAGAAGUUUACAAAUUCUUGCUUGCUAUCUCUACUACUUUGUUCUUCAGUUCUCAGUGUUUGGAUACAUUGAAAUGUAAAUUAUAAUGUGAAUAUAUACUACUACAAACUAGGAUAGCCUGUAAAAGCAUAAUCCUACUCCUUUUUUUAACAGUUACAAAUAUAGAAAUUUUUUGGACUUGAUAGUACUUUUGGCAGCUUGAAACUCUUGUUGCUUUGCUAGAAAUGAUAGGCUUCGAGGUUCUUAAUAUUUGACUAAACAGCUUUUGGUUUAGCUUCCAAAACUGGUGCAGCACCUUUCACAUCAACCCAUGUGUUUUUUGUCAUUUACUUGACUUGUAGCUGUCAAUUGGUAGUCAUCAAUUGCUAGUAAGAGUUCAGACGUCGAUAGCUUCUUGAAUUACCAAUCGAUAGCAUUACUAGAUUAGCCAUUGAUGAAAUUGAUGUAGCGGUUGAUAGCUUGUUUAUUCAGCCGUUGAUGCUUCUGAUUAGCAAUCGAUCUUCACUUCACUUGUACAGAUUACAUGACUUCAAAUAUUUCAAUUAUGUCAUCAUGUCUAUACAUCUAUUAAUAGAACAAUCAAAGCAAUAAUACAAUAAACGGCCAUGAGGUAGUAUGAUCACUUUCUAAUAUCAUAUGCAUAUGCUACUUAUCUAAAUCGGAUUAUCUUCAUUGGUAAAACAGAGCUUUCAGCACGUCAAAAAUAUAUAUAUCAGAGCAAUUUAAAACUUCGUAGAUUAAUUAUAACCUAGUUUGAUAAUGUUGAAUUAACCAAUUAUUUUGUAAUUUAGCUCAGUUAGUAAAUGAAUCCUGAGGAUAGGAAUUUUAAUUGAUUGACAUAGUUUCCCUCCUAAGAUUUCAUAAUGUAGUUAUAUCUUCGCUUACUCAAGAUAUACAGAGUACAUCUAUUCACCUAGUCUAGGUGCAACAAUGUGCCGUUUCUUGUGUCAUAUGAGGUGCACGCAAAAAUGACAAGCACAAUGGAGGCGUAAAAUAAUCCGAGGACAGAUCAUAUGUAUUUACAAUGAAAGAAUUAUUCGUGCCUUUCCAAUACAAUGCAUAUGAUUGUGUGCGAGGCCUUUGGCCGGUAGGAUACUGUAUACAGGAGUCUGUUAAACAAUACGCAUCUUAUUUAAAAAAAAUUAAAACACCAACUUACAACGAAAACCAAGUCAUUACUGACCUAAUAGUAGAGUUAGGAAUUUCACAAUUCUAGUAUGUCGGCUACAUAAAUCCUCAAUUUACAGGUUUUUAGUUAUGGUGAGGCAAAACAACCUUCUUAGGAAAAUAUGUUGUACCAUUAGGGCGAGCACCCUUCAUAUUGAGGAUCGUCAACCAAAUUGUAAAUCUGAAAAUUUCCAAAGAAGACACUUUGACUCUCAGCUGCCAUAUCACUAAAUUCUAAACACAAUAUCACUACUUUGAACAACCCCGCCUCCACGUCCAUCUUCUCUUACUUUUCCUCCAUUCCCGGCAACACCAUGGCCUUAAACUCUAAUCUCACUUUCGAGAACUCACCACUCGUGUUCUUUGAAAAUCCGAAAACCUAACAAAAAGCUUUCCUCGAGGUCACACUAUAUUUAUCGGGGCUAUUUCAGCAAAAGCCUCUCAUUUAUUACUCCUCUAACAACAAUCAUAAAAGCUUUUCUCUACUAAUUUUUUCUGAAACUAACUUACUAAAUAUAAAUUGAUAUAUCUAAUCCGUUGUUUAUGAAAUAUAAUCAACCCUAUCCUUUUCCCUUCAAAAUGUUACUUCCAAGAUCAUACAAUAAAUUAAUCUUUGGAUAAUUUUCUAAACUUUUCUACAACAUUAUAUCUUGUAAGACCAUAUUAAGAAGAUAACGGCUUGUUUGAAAGUAGAGUUUUGAGAAAAACAUACAGAUUUGGAUCAUAUUAGGGCCUUAUUUGUUUAGCGGGAUUCAUAAUUACACAGGAACUCGUUGUUACUUAAAAGUAGGUUACAAUGUGUAGUUGUUUUGAAACUGAAAAUACAGUGUUUUUUGGUUGAUACUAUAUACUAAAUAUGUAAUUAUAUAAUUUUGACAAUUUAGAUAAUAAAAUUAAUAUAUUUUAGGUAUAUAAAUGAAAUAAAAUGAUUUGGUAUGUAAUAUUAACAUGAACUAAUAUGAAUUUUAACAUAGUAUAAAAAGAAAAAAAAUGAGAUUUAUAAAUAUAAAACAAUAUUUAGAUGAGACAAUAUAUUAAUAUAAUAUUAGUAAUAUCUAAAUAAAAGCAAAUAAAAUAUAGAACAAAAUUUACGUUGCAAAGUUUAAGCUGGGAAAUAAAUAUAAAUUUUAUAAGAUGGAUAAAUUGUUAAUGUAAAAUACACAUAUAUAAUAAAGGUCAUGUUUAAGAAAGAACCAUUAGACAGAGAAUCCUGAGAACCCUUACCUUAUUUCUAGUAUUCGUUAGGACUUGUAGCAGUACUGCACAUGAAAAAAAUGUCUUAUUUAUGUAUAAUAUUUUGAAAUCACUUCUGAACACACACAACGAUGCCAAAAAACAUGUAUUUAGAUUUAGAUCCUAAAAAUCUAUGUAAAAUAUAGGG